AAAACUCUAAGCGGUGGAUCACUCGGCUCAUGGGUCGAUGAAGAACGCAGCAAACUGUGCGUCAUCGUGUGAACUGCAGGACACAUGAACAUCGACAUUUUGAACGCAUAUCGCAGUCCAUGCUGUUAUGUACUUUAAUUAAUUUUAUAGUGCUGCUUGGACUACAUAUGGUUGAGGGUUGUAAGACUAUGCUAAUUAAGUUGCUUAUAAAUUUUUAUAAGCAUAUGGUAUAUUAUUGGAUAAAUAUAAUAAUUUUUAUUCAUAAUAUUAAAAAAUAAAUGAAAAACAUUAUCUCACAUUUGAAUGUGAAAAACGAAGAGAAAUAUUUUCUUUUUCAAUCAAAUAAUACUGAGAAAUGUCUAGCAUAAAAAAUUGAAAUAUUUUUCAUCUAGAAUUGUCUCUUAUUAAUGAUUCGGAAAUAGAAAAAUCUUGGUUAUGUUAUUAUUCUUCGUUGGUUCGUUAAAAAUGGAUAAAUAAAAACUUUGCAUACAAGAAUUAAUAAAAAUGUUAUAACGAAUUUAAUUAAAUGUUUUAUCAUUAUAUAUAAAGAAUUUAUGGCAAGAUAAAGUUAUAUACAACCUCAACUCAUAUGGGACUACCCCCUGAAUUUAAGCAUAUUAAUUAGGGGAGGAAAAGAAACUAACAAGGAUUUUCUUAGUAGCGGCGAGCGAAAAGAAAACAGUUCAGCACUAAGUCACUUUGUCUAUAUGGCAAAUGUGAGAUGCAGUGUAUGGAGCGUCAAUAUUCUAGUAUGAGAAAUUAACGAUUUAAGUCCUUCUUAAAUGAGGCCAUUUACCCAUAGAGGGUGCCAGGCCCGUAUAACGUUAAUGAUUACUAGAUGAUGUUUCCAAAGAGUCGUGUUGCUUGAUAGUGCAGCACUAAGUGGGUGGUAAACUCCAUCUAAAACUAAAUAUAACCAUGAGACCGAUAGUAAACAAGUACCGUGAGGGAAAGUUGAAAAGAACUCUGAAUAGAGAGUUAAACAGUACGUGAAACUGCUUAGAGGUUAAGCCCGAUGAACCUGAAUAUCCGUUAUGGAAAAUUCAUCAUUAAAAUUGUAAUAUUUAAAUAAUAUUAUGAGAAUAGUGUGCAUUUUUUCCAUAUAAGGACAUUGUAAUCUAUUAGCAUAUACCAAAUUUAUCAUAAAAUAUAACUUAUAGUUUAUUCCAAUUAAAUUGCUUGCAUUUUAACACAGAAUAAAUGUUAUUAAUUUGAUAAAGUGCUGAUAGAUUUAUAUGAUUACAGUGCGUUAAUUUUUCGGAAUUAUAUAAUGGCAUAAUUAUCAUUGAUUUUUGUGUUUAUUAUAUGCACUUGUAUGAUUAACAAUGCGAAAGAUUCAGGAUACCUUCGGGACCCGUCUUGAAACACGGACCAAGGAGUCUAACAUAUGUGCAAGUUAUUGGGAUAUAAACCUAAUAGCGUAAUUAACUUGACUAAUAAUGGGAUUAGUUUUUUAGCUAUUUAUAGCUAAUUAACACAAUCCCGGGGCGUUCUAUAUAGUUAUGUAUAAUGUAUAUUUAUAUUAUUUAUGCCUCUAACUGGAACGUACCUUGAGCAUAUAUGCUGUGACCCGAAAGAUGGUGAACUAUACUUGAUCAGGUUGAAGUCAGGGGAAACCCUGAUGGAAGACCGAAACAGUUCUGACGUGCAAAUCGAUUGUCAGAAUUGAGUAUAGGGGCGAAAGACCAAUCGAACCAUCUAGUAGCUGGUUCCUUCCGAAGUUUCCCUCAGGAUAGCUGGUGCAUUUUAAUAUUAUAUAAAAUAAUCUUAUCUGGUAAAGCGAAUGAUUAGAGGCCUUAGGGUCGAAACGAUCUUAACCUAUUCUCAAACUUUAAAUGGGUAAGAACCUUAACUUUCUUGAUAUGAAGUUCAAGGUUAUGAUAUAAUGUGCCCAGUGGGCCACUUUUGGUAAGCAGAACUGGCGCUGUGGGAUGAACCAAACGUAAUGUUACGGUGCCCAAAUUAACAACUCAUGCAGAUACCAUGAAAGGCGUUGGUUGCUUAAAACAGCAGGACGGUGAUCAUGGAAGUCGAAAUCCGCUAAGGAGUGUGUAACAACUCACCUGCCGAAGCAACUAGCCCUUAAAAUGGAUGGCGCUUAAGUUGUAUACCUAUACAUUACCGCUAAAGUAGAUGAUUUAUAUUACUUGUGAUAUAAAUUUUGAAACUUUAGUGAGUAGGAAGGUACAAUGGUAUGCGUAGAAGUGUUUGGCGUAAGCCUGCAUGGAGCUGCCAUUGGUACAGAUCUUGGUGGUAGUAGCAAAUAAUCGAAUGAGACCUUGGAGGACUGAAGUGGAGAAGGGUUUCGUGUGAACAGUGGUUGAUCACGAGUUAGUCGGUCCUAAGUUCAAGGCGAAAGCCGAAAAUUUUCAAGUAAAACAAAAAUGCCUAACUAUAUAAACAAAGCGAAUUAUAAUACACUUGAAUAAUUUUGAACGAAAGGGAAUACGGUUCCAAUUCCGUAACCUGUUGAGUAUCCGUUUGUUAUUAAAUAUGGGCCUCGUGCUCAUCCUGGCAACAGGAACGACCAUAAAGAAGCCGUCGAGAGAUAUCGGAAGAGUUUUCUUUUCUGUUUUAUAGCCGUACUACCAUGGAAGUCUUUCGCAGAGAGAUAUGGUAGAUGGGCUAGAAGAGCAUGACAUAUACUGUUGUGUCGAUAUUUUCUCCUCGGACCUUGAAAAUUUAUGGUGGGGACACGCAAACUUCUCAACAGGCCGUACCAAUAUCCGCAGCUGGUCUCCAAGGUGAAGAGUCUCUAGUCGAUAGAAUAAUGUAGGUAAGGGAAGUCGGCAAAUUAGAUCCGUAACUUCGGGAUAAGGAUUGGCUCUGAAGAUUGAGAUAGUCGGGCUUGAUUGGGAAACAAUAACAUGGUUUAUGUGCUCGUUCUGGGUAAAUAGAGUUUCUAGCAUUUAUGUUAGUUACUUGUUCCCCGGAUAGUUUAGUUACGUAGCCAAUUGUGGAACUUUCUUGCUAAAAUUUUUAAGAAUACUAUUUGGGUUAAACCAAUUAGUUCUUAUUAAUUAUAACGAUUAUCAAUUAACAAUCAAUUCAGAACUGGCACGGACUUGGGGAAUCCGACUGUCUAAUUAAAACAAAGCAUUGUGAUGGCCCUAGCGGGUGUUGACACAAUGUGAUUUCUGCCCAGUGCUCUGAAUGUCAAAGUGAAGAAAUUCAAGUAAGCGCGGAAAUCACGGUGAGUCAACCACUACUGCUAGGGCCAUCACAAUGCUUUGUUUUAAUUAGACAGUCGGAUUCCCCAAGUCCGUGCCAGUUCUGAAUUGAUUGUUAAUUGAUAAUCGUUAUAAUUAAUAAGAACUAAUUGGUUUAACCCAAAUAGUAUUCUUAAAAAUUUUAGCAAGAAAGUUCCACAAUUGGCUACGUAACUAAACUAUCCGGGGAACAAGUAACUAACAUAAAUGCUAGAAACUCUAUUUACCCAGAACGAGCACAUAAACCAUGUUAUUGUUUCCCAAUCAAGCCCGACUAUCUCAAUCUUCAGAGCCAAUCCUUAUCCCGAAGUUACGGAUCUAAUUUGCCGACUUCCCUUACCUACAUUAUUCUAUCGACUAGAGACUCUUCACCUUGGAGACCAGCUGCGGAUAUUGGUACGGCCUGUUGAGAAGUUUGCGUGUCCCCACCAUAAAUUUUCAAGGUCCGAGGAGAAAAUAUCGACACAACAGUAUAUGUCAUGCUCUUCUAGCCCAUCUACCAUAUCUCUCUGCGAAAGACUUCCAUGGUAGUACGGCUAUAAAACAGAAAAGAAAACUCUUCCGAUAUCUCUCGACGGCUUCUUUAUGGUCGUUCCUGUUGCCAGGAUGAGCACGAGGCCCAUAUUUAAUAACAAACGGAUACUCAACAGGUUACGGAAUUGGAACCGUAUUCCCUUUCGUUCAAAAUUAUUCAAGUGUAUUAUAA
rnacentral:rRNA from 1 species